rnacentral:rRNA from 1 species
UAAAUUAUGCCAACUAGCGAUCCGUCGGUGUUAAAUAUUGACUCGACGGGCAGCUUCCGGGAAACCAAAGUUUAUAGGUUCCGGGGGAAGUAUGGUUGCAAAGCUAAACUUAAAGGAAUUGACGGAAGGGCACCACCAGGAGUGGAGCCUGCGGCUUAAUUUGACUCAACACGGGGAAACUCACCCGGCCAGGACACAAUAAGGAUUGACAGAUUGAUAGCUCUUUCUUGAUUUUGUGGGUGGUGGUGCAUGGCCGUUCUUAGUUGGUGGAGCGAUUUGUCUGGUUAAUUCCGAUAACGAACGAGACUCUAGCCUAUUAAAUAGACGAUAUAUCUUAUUAGUAUAUCGAGCUUCUUAGAGGGACGAGCAGCUUCUAGCUGCACGAGAUUGAGCAAUAACAGGUCUGUGAUGCCCUUAGAUGUCCGGGGCUGCACGCGCGCUACAAUGAAAAUAGCAGCGCGUUUCGAAAACCUUUUCUGGAAAGUAUUGGUAAACGCGAAAUAUUUUCGUGAUUGGGACUAGGGGAUUGCAAU